rnacentral:rRNA from 1 species
CGCCUAAGGAUGGGUCUGCGGCCUAUCAGGUAGUAGUGGGUGUAGCGUACCUACUAGCCUACGACGGGUACGGGUUGUGAGAGCAAGAGCCCGGAGAUGGAUUCUGAGACACGAAUCCAGGCCCUACGGGGUGCAGCAGGCGCGAAAACUUUACAAUGCUGGCAACAGCGAUAAGGGAACCUCGAGUGCCAGGUUACAAAUCUGGCUGUCGAGAUGCCUAAAAAGCAUUUCAUAGCAAGGGCCGGGCAAGACCGGUGCCAGCCGCCGCGGUAACACCGGCGGCUCGAGUGGUAACCGUUAUUAUUGGGUCUAAAGGGUCUGUAGCCGGCCGGAUAAGUCUCUUGAGAAAUCUGGCAGCUUAACUGUCAGGCUUUCAGGAGAUACUGUCUGGCUCGAGGCCGGGAGAGGUGAGAGGUACUUCAGGGGUAGGGGUGAAAUGCUGUAAUCCUUGGGGGACCACCAGUGGCGAAGGCGUCUCACUGGAACGCGCCUGACGGUGAGGGACGAAAGCCAGGGGAGCGAACGGGAUUAGAUACCCGGGUAGUCCCAGCUGUAAACGAUGCUCGUUAGGUGUAUCGGUGACCGCGACUCAUCGAGGUGCCGAAGGGAAACCGUGAAACGUGCCGCCUGGGAAGUACGGUCGCAAGGCUGAAACUUAAAGGAAUUGGCGGGGAGCACCACAACGGGUGGAGCCUGCGGUUUAAUUGGACUCAACGCUGGACAGCUCACCGGAUAAGACAGCUGGAUGAUAGCCGGGCUGAAGACUCUGCUUGACUAGCUGAGAGGAGGUGCAUGGCCGUCGUCAGUUCGUACUGUGAAGCAUCCUGUUAAGUCAGGCAACGAGCGAGACCCAAAUC